AUGCCUUUUGGUUUAUGUAAUGCACCUGCUACCUUUCAAAGAUGCAUGAUAGCUAUAUUCUCUGACUUUUGUGAAAAGAUUUGUGAGGUAUUCAUGGAUGAUUUCUCCGUUUAUGGAUCCUCCUUUGAUGAUUGCUUGAGCAACCUUGAUCGAGUUUUGCAGAGAUGCGAAGACACUAGUCUCAUCUUGAAUUGGGAAAGGUGCCACUUUAUGGUUAAUGAAGGCAUUGUCUUGGGGCAUAAAAUUUUUGAAAGAGGUAUUGAAGUUGAUAAAGCUAAAGUUGAUGCUAUUGAAAAGAUGUCGUGUCCCAAGGACUUUAAAGGUAUAAGAAGUUUCCUUGGUCAUGUCGGUUUUUAUAGGAGGUUCAUUAAGGACUUCUGUAAAAUCUCUAGGCCUCUGACUAAUCUAUUACAAAAAGAUAUUCCCUUUGUCUUCGAUGAUGAUUGUGUAGAAGCAUUUAAAAUACUUAAGAAAGCUUAUAUUUCUGCACCUAUUGUUCAGCCACCUGAUUGGAAUUUACCCUUUGAAAUUAUGUGUGAUGCUAGCGAUUAUGAUGUAGGUGUUGUUCUAGGGCAAAGAGUUGAUAAGAAACUAAAUGUCAUCCAAUAUGCUAGUAAAACUCUAGACACUGCUCAAAGGAAUUAUACUACUACUGAAAAAGAAUUCUUAGCAGUUGUAUUUGCAUGUGAUAAGUUCAGACCUUAUAUUGUUGAUUCUAAAGUAACUAUUCACACUAACCAUGCUGCUAUUAAAUAUCUUAUGGAAAAGAAAGAUGCUAAACCUAGACGUAUUAGAUGGGUCCUCUUGCUCCAAGAAUUUGAUUUGCAUAUUAUUGAUAGAAAGGGAGCCUAG
rnacentral:rRNA from 1 species